rnacentral:rRNA from 1 species
UACAGAGGUGGCAAGCGUUGUUCGGAAUUACUGGGCGUAAAGGGCGCGUAGGCGGUUCGUUAAGUCCUGUGUGAAAUCCCCCGGCUCAACUGGGGAGGGUCACGCGAUACUGAUCGACUCGAAGGCAGGAGAGGGUAGUGGAAUUCCCGGUGUAGUGGUGAAAUGCGUAGAUAUCGGGAGGAACACCAGUGGCGAAGGCGACUACCUGGCCUGUUCUUGACGCUGAGGCGCGAAAGCUAGGGGAGCAAACGGG